CACGUAGGAGGCGAGCGUUGUCCGGAAUCAUUGGGCGUAAAGAGCGCGCAGGCGGCUUGGCAAGUCGGGUGUGAAAUCCCGGGGCUCAACCCCGUGACUGCAUCCGAUACUGUCAGGCUAGAGGUAGGUGGGGGAGAUCGGAAUUCCUGGUGUAGCGGUGAAAUGCGCAGAUAUCAGGAGGGACACCGGUGGCGAAGGCGGGUCUCUGGGCAGUAACUGACGCUGAGGACCGAAAGCGUGGGUAGCAAACAGG
rnacentral:rRNA from 1 species